rnacentral:rRNA from 1 species
GACGAACGCUGGCGGCGUGCUUAACACAUGCAAGUCGAGCGGUAAGGCCCUUCGGGUACACGAGCGGCGAACGGGUGAGUAACACGUGGGUGACCUGCCUCUAGCUCUGGGAUAAGCCUGGGAAACUGGGUCUAAUACCGGAUAUGACUCCACGGCGCAUGUUGUGGGGUGGAAAGCCUUGUGUGGCUAGAGAUGGGCCCGCGGCCUAUCAGCUUGUUGGUGGGGGAUGGCCUACCAAGGCGACGACGGUAGCCGGCCUGAGAGGGCGACCGGCCACACUGGGACUGAGACACGGCCCAGACUCCUACGGGAGGCAGCAGUGGGGAAUCUUGCGCAAUGGGCGAAAGCCUGACGCAGCGACGCCGCGUGAGGGAUGACGGCCUGUGUAAC